rnacentral:rRNA from 1 species
GCUAGCUACAGGCUUAACACAUGCAAGUCGAGGGGAAACGACAUCGAAAGCUUGCUUUUGAUGGGCGUCGACCGGCGCACGGGUGAGUAACGCGUAUCCAACCUGCCCACCACUUGGGGAUAACCUUGCGAAAGUAAGACUAAUACCCAAUGAUAUCUCUAGAAGACAUCUGAAAGAGAUUAAAGAUUUAUCGGUGAUGGAUGGGGAUGCGUCUGAUUAGCUUGUUGGCGGGGUAACGGCCCACCAAGGCGACGAUCAGUAGGGGUUCUGAGAGGAAGGUCCCCCACAUUGGAACUGAGACACGGUCCAAACUCCUACGGGAGGCAGCAGUGAGGAAUAUUGGUCAAUGGGCGAGAGCCUGAACCAGCCAAGUAGCGUGCAGGAUGACGGCCCUAUGGGUUGUAAACUGCUUUUAUAAGGGAAUAAAGUGAGUCUCGUGAGACUUUUUGCAUGUACCUUAUGAAUAAGGACCGGCUAAUUCCGUGCCAGCAGCCGCGGUAAUACGGAAGGUCCGGGCGUUAUCCGGAUUUAUUGGGUUUAAAGGGAGCGUAGGCCGGAGAUUAAGCGUGUUGUGAAAUGUAGAUGCUCAACAUCUGAACUGCAGCGCGAGCUGGUUUCCUUGAGUACGCACAAAGUGGGCGGAAUUCGUGGUGUAGCGGUGAAAUGCUUAGAUAUCACGAAGAACUCCGAUUGCGAAGGCAGCUCACUGGAGCGCAACUGACGCUGAAGCUCGAAAGUGCGGGUAUCGAACAGGAUUAGAUACCCUGGUAGUCCGCACGGUAAACGAUGGAUGCCCGCUGUUGGUCUGAAUAGGUCAGCGGCCAAGCGAAAGCAUUAAGCAUCCCACCUGGGGAGUACGCCGGCAACGGUGAAACUCAA